rnacentral:rRNA from 1 species
CCUACGGGCGGCAGCAGUGGGGAAUAUUGGACAAUGGGGGCAACCCUGAUCCAGCCAUGCCGCGUGUGUGAAGAAGGCCCUCGGGUUGUAAAGCACUUUCAGUGAGGAAGAACGCCUGGUGGUUAAUACCCAUCAGGAAAGACAUCACUCACAGAAGAAGCACCGGCUAACUCCGUGCCAGCAGCCGCGGUAAUACGGAGGGUGCGAGCGUUAAUCGGAAUUACUGGGCGUAAAGCGCGCGUAGGUGGCUUGAUAAGCCGGUUGUGAAAGCCCCGGGCUCAACCUGGGAACGGCAUCCGGAACUGUCGAGCUAGAGUGCAGGAGAGGAAGGUAGAAUUCCCGGUGUAGCGGUGAAAUGCGUAGAGAUCGGGAGGAAUACCAGUGGCGAAGGCGGCCUUCUGGACUGACACUGACACUGAGGUGCGAAAGCGUGGGUAGCAAACAGGAUUAGAUACCCGGGUAGUC